AUCGCUUCUCGGCCUUUUGGCUAAGAUCAAGUGUAGUAUUUUGCUGUGCUUGAUUUCUAGAAGUAAUCGGAGGCCGGUGGGCAGAGCAUUGUGCUUUUGUUGAAAAAUUGUUUCUGUUUCACUAUUGUUUUUUUUGUCCUGGGUAGGUGGUGUUUUGGUGAUGGACUACAGGUGCACCAGCACCUGU